GACGAACGCUGGCGGCGUGCUUAACACAUGCAAGUCGAACGGAAAGGCCCUGCUUGCAGGGUCCUCGAGUGGCGAACGGGUGAGUAACACGUGGGUGAUCUGCCCUGCACUUCGGGAUAAGCUUGGGAAACUGGGUCUAAUACCGGAUAGGAGCCAUCUUUAGUGUGGUGGUUGGAAAGUUUUUUCGGUGUAGGAUGAGCUCGCGGCCUAUCAGCUUGUUGGUGGGGUAAUGGCCUACCAAGGCGGCGACGGGUAGCCGGCCUGAGAGGGUGUACGGCCACAUUGGGACGGAGAGACGGCCCAGACUCCGACGGGAGGCAGCAGUGGGGAAUAUUGCACAAUGGGAGCAAGCCUGAUGCAGCGACGCCGCGUGGGGGAUGAAGGCCUUCGGGGUGUAAACUCCUUUCGCUAGGGACGAAGCUUUUUUGUGACGGUACCUAGAUAAGAAGCACCGGCUAACUACGUG
rnacentral:rRNA from 1 species